rnacentral:rRNA from 1 species
CCUACGGGUGGCAGCAGUGAGGAAUAUUGGUCAAUGGCCGCAAGUCUGAACCAGCCAAGCCGCGUGAAGGACGAAGGUCCUACGGAUUGUAAACUUCUUUUGUCAGGGGACAAAAUGUGGCUCGAGAGCCUGACCGCGUGUACUUUACGAACAAGCAUCGGCUAACUCCGUGCCAGCAGCCGCGGUAAUACGGAGGAUCCGAGCGUUAACCGGAUUUAUUGGGUUUAAAGGGUGCGUUGGCGGGCUGUUAAGUCAGCUGUGAAAGCCCCGGGCCCAACCCCGGCAUGGCAGUUGAAACUGGCAGUCUUGAGUUGGGGAGAGGUGGGCGGAAUGCGUGGUGUAGCGGUGAAAUGCUUAGAUAUCGCGCAGAACUCCGAUUGCGAAGGCAGCACACCGGAGGAGAACUGACGCUGAGGCACGAAAGCGUGGGUAUCGAACAGGAUUAGAUACCCUGGUAGUC